AUUGAACGCUGGCGGCAGGCCUAACACAUGCAAGUCGAACGGUAACAGGAAGCAGCUUGCUGCUUUGCUGACGAGUGGCGGACGGGUGAGUAAUGUCUGGGAAACUGCCUGAUGGAGGGGGAUAACUACUGGAAACGGUAGCUAAUACCGCAUAACGUCGCAAGACCAAAGAGGGGGACCUUCGGGCCUCUUGCCAUCGGAUGUGCCCAGAUGGGAUUAGCUUGUUGGUGGGGUAACGGCUCACCAAGGCGACGAUCCCUAGCUGGUCUGAGAGGAUGACCAGCCACACUGGAACUGAGACACGGUCCAGACUCCUACGGGAGGCAGCAGUGGGGAAUAUUGCACAAUGGGCGCAAGCCCGAUGCAGCCAUGCCGCGUGUAUGAAGAAGGCCUUCGGGUUGUAAAGUACUUUCAGCGGGGAGGAAGGGAGUAAAGUUAAUACCUUUACUCAUUGACGUUACCCGCAGAAGAAGCACCGGCUAACUCCGUG
rnacentral:rRNA from 1 species